rnacentral:rRNA from 1 species
GACGAACGCUGGCGGCGUGCUUAACACAUGCAAGUCGAACGGAAAGGCCCCUUCGGGGGUCCUCGAGUGGCGAACGGGUGAGUAACACGUGAGUAACCUGCCCUUGACUUCGGGAUAACUUCAGGAAACUGGGGCUAAUACCGGAUAGGAAUCCUUGCUGCAUGGUGGGGGUUGGAAAGCUUCGGCGGUUUUGGAUGGACUCGCGGCUUAUCAGCUUGUUGGUGGGGUAGUGGCUUACCAAGGCUUUGACGGGUAGCCGGCCUGAGAGGGCGACCGGCCACAUUGGGACUGAGAGACGGCCCAGACUCCUACGGGAGGCAGCAGUGGGGAAUAUUGCACAAGGGGCGGAAGCCGGAUGCAGCAACGCCGCGGGCGGGAUGACGGCCUUCGGGUUGUAAACCGCUUUCAGCAGGGGCGAAGCUUGUGGUGACGGUACCUGCAGAAGAAGCACCGGCUAACUACGUG